GCCGAAGUGGCGGAACUGGUAGACGCGCAUGGUUCAGGGUCAUGUGGGUAUUAGCCCGUGGGAGUUCGAGUCUCCCCUUCGGCACCA
rnacentral:tRNA from 3 species